UCCUAUAAUUUACACGACGCAUAAUUCGGCCCGUCGCAAUAUUGUAGGGAAAUCUGCUACAAUCUGAAUCUCUUGCAAUUCCUACAAUUUACACUACGAAUAAUUAUGUCCGUCACAAUAUUGCAAGGGCAUCCGCAACAAAUUGAAUCUCUUGCAAUGUUUAGGUAUUUAUUCCCAUAAACAAGAUUACAAUUCCGCGCAAACACACAUCACGAAAACACACCCAAACACAUCCAUUGCACCGGCGACAUCUAUUCCGGCCGUUUGGGAAGUUUUAUCACCGCUGACGGAGCUGAAUUUGGCGGCAGCUGAGGAUUGAGUUGGUGGCAGCUUGACUCCCCCAUCAGAGUUGGCAAUAUCCAAGAUGAUACAUUGAAAAGGGCUGUUGUAGCUUACAGGGGAAAGUGUUGGAAGAAAAUAGGUGAAAAGACUACAAAGAGCUUGUCUCAAAAACCCUGUUAAGGUACACUUGAAAUGACUUCAAGAGGUUGUCUAGAAGUUGAUUUUGAAACGAUAGCUGGAUAUCUCAUUUAAGUUGCUCGUAUUGAUAGCUCUAUACAAUAAGAACAUGGAAACAACCAAAAGGAUUUAUUAAAGGACUUGAGAACAACAAAGAAAUCAUUGAACUUUGGAACUGGGUAGGAAGCUUUGUCGCAAUUUACCAUGACGGGAUUUGAUUGAUGAUUUAUUAUUAUAUGUUUUUUAAUUACCAGUUUAGUUGUUUUGUAUGAUAUUUUGGUAAAUGGAACUAGAUUUUAUAAAUUUAUAUAACAUGUGCU